rnacentral:tRNA from 1 species
AUUUAUAUAGUUUAAAAAAACAUUAUAUUUUCAUUAUAAAAAUAAUAACUCUUUAUUUAUAAAUU